UGUAAGCGUAUACCAAAGUUGUUGCAGUUUAAACGCUCGUAGUCGGAAUUUGGCAGUUCCGGAUGUGUGCACGUCGUGUGCGCACUUCGCGGGGAUUGCUUUUGUGGUCUUGCGUAGGAUGAGGCACUUUUAUUAGUGAACGUCCUCACGCAACCACUUUUUACUGUGAGAAAAUCAGAGUGCUCAAAGCAGGCAUUUGCCGUGAAUGUAUUAGCAUGGAAUAAUAGAAUAGGACUUGGUUCUAUUUUGUUGGUUUGUUGGGACUGAGUAAUGAUUAAGAGGGACAGUUGGGGGCAUUUGUAUUUCGGUGCUAGAGGUGAAAUUCUUAGAUUACCGAAAGACAAACUGCUGCGAAAGCGUCUGCCAAGGAUGUUUUCAUUGA
rnacentral:rRNA from 1 species